UAGGCGACGGGUCGCCGCCGGAGCAGAGCCCCGCCGCAGGUAGAGUCGUUGGAGCUGCCGGCAGUUCAUAGGUUGGGAUGAGGCAGCUGAGAGAAGAAGGACCCGGAGGGGGAGGCCCCGGCAGCUCCACAGGCAGCCAGGAGCGCAACAGAUGCCUGUAAGAAUGGCAGCAUAAUUCCCUUCACUGCUACAUUAUUUCUUGAUAGAGUGGUUAUAAUACUGGGAAAGAAGACUGAUGACUUGAGCAAAUAUGAUGACAAAUUGCUCAUACAUGUAACAGCAACAACCAGGAAAUCCAUACUUGGGGAAAAAGUUUUUUCAACGUUUUUGAGGAUUUGGCUAACCUGCCUUUUACAAAAUGAAUCGUUAUACAACGAUGAGACAGCUUGGGGACGGAACAUAUGGCAGUGUGUUGAUGGGGAAGAGCAAUGAAUCAGGGGAACUUGUGGCCAUCAAAAGAAUGAAAAGGAAGUUCUACUCUUGGGAUGAAUGUAUGAAUCUGAGAGAAGUAAAGUCUCUGAAGAAACUUAAUCAUGCAAAUGUGAUAAAGCUGAAGGAAGUUAUUCGAGAAAAUGACCAUCUUUAUUUUGUGUUUGAGUAUAUGAAGGAAAAUCUCUAUCAGCUAAUGAAGGGCAGAAGCAAGUUUUUUCCUGAGUCUGUCAUCAGGAACAUUAUGUAUCAGAUCUUGCAAGGCCUAGCCUUCAUCCAUAAACAUGGAUUCUUCCACCGGGAUAUGAAACCUGAAAAUCUUCUUUGUAUGGGACCAGAACUGGUUAAAAUAGCUGAUUUUGGAUUGGCUAGAGAACUAAGGUCUCAGCCGCCAUAUACUGAUUAUGUUUCUACCAGAUGGUACCGUGCACCUGAGGUUUUACUGAGAUCUUCAAUUUAUAGUUCUCCUAUUGACAUAUGGGCCGUUGGCAGCAUAAUGGCAGAACUGUAUACCCUAAGACCACUUUUUCCGGGAACAAGUGAAGUUGAUGAAAUCUUCAAAAUUUGCCAAGUAUUAGGAACCCCCAAAAGGAGUGAUUGGCCAGAAGGAUACCAACUUGCCGCUGCAAUGAAUUUUUGCUUCCCUCAGUUUGUCUCCAUGAGCCUAAAGACUCUCAUUCCAAAUGCCAGCAGUGAGGCACUACAGCUUAUGAAUGAUAUGCUGAAUUGGGAUCCAAGGAAACGACCUACAGCAAGUCAGGCGUUGAAGUAUCCUUACUUUCAAGUUGGCCAAGUUUUAGGACCACCUCCACAAUAUCUGGAUCAGAAACAGUCUCAUCCCAAACCAAUUCAGCCAGCAGAGCCAAAGCCAUCUCUACCCAAAUUAGACCCCGUAUCAAAAUUAGACUCUGAAUCUAAGCCAGAAUCUCAGUCCUCACCAGAUGCACCAGACAAAUUCCAGCUGCAGUCUGUAUCAAAGAAUAACCAACAUCCCCUCCAGGCAAUUCAGCUGCCCCAGAACACAAUCAACCAGCAACCAAUGAAACAGCAGCAGCCACAAUCCUUCCUUCCAGCCAUCAAUAAAAACUCAUCACCCAAGCAAACAGCCAUUGGAACUUCAAAUGGUGCAGUCACCUUGAAAAGCUGUCGGCGACGGUGGGGUCAGACAAAAUUAAAGACUAUGGAUAGUUGGGACAAUUAUGAUGAUGCAGAAUUUGGGAUUUCUUAUUCUAAGAAGCCCAGCAUUACCGUGCUAAAUGAAAAGAAAACUAAAGAUUCUCUUUUUAGUGUUCCUGAAUCUAAGUCCCCUAGCUCUGGCCAAACAGGAGGAGAAAAUAAGGUUCUGAAGAGAAAUGAUUCUGGAAUAUCAACUACAUCAGCAAAACAGUACUACCUAAAACAAUCAAGAUACGUGCCUGGUGUAAACCCUAAGAAUGUCUCCUUAGGAGCAGCCAAUAAAGAAGGAUCCCAUGGAACCUGGAACAGUACCUUGUUUUCAAAACCGCUAGGACCUAUUGGAGGCUUGUCUUUCAGCCGAGUCAAUGCAGAAGAAAACUUAAUUAAACCUAUUGAAAAACUGUCAUGCAAAGAAAGAGUGAGUGACAAAUUAGAGGAUCUAAAAGGCUGGAAGGGCUGUACCUUUUACUUUUGCUGACACCGUGGCAGAGGGUAACAGUUUCCUCUGCUCCCACUGCCAGACCAUCCAUAGGCCAGGAGGCCACAUAUUUUGUUACAGUGAGCACCACCACCUUUGAAUGGCAGUGCUCAAGCAGUGAUGGAUGUGAUUCACAUUCUUCAACAGCAUACUCUUCCACAUGCCUUGGCGUGGUUCAGCUACUUUCCUUUGAGCUCUCUGCUUUGCUUACUGCAGUGAGAAUUCAGAGCAGCCUGUUGGGGUUUGAAACAGAAGAUAUUGGAUGGGGGCUGUCAGAUUUUGAGGUGAUUUUUGUUUAAUUCCCUAAAUAAAGUUAGUUAAGUAGGAGUUGAGCUAGGUCUCAGUUAAUUAACCAUCCUCUUUUGCUCUUGUUUUUCAGUGUUCAGAUCUGGGUAAUAUACUGUCAGACUGUCCACCACCCCCUCCAAGUAGUCCUAGUGAAGUAAAUAUAUUUAAGAGUGUGAGCCUUCAUGUGUUUUGCACUUUACUAAAAUUGUUCUGAUAUUGAUUAUUUUUUUUCCAUUUUGGGUUUUAGGCUAAUCCCUGAAGGAAAAGGAGAGGAAAAUGUAAAUUGUACUGAAUCCACGCCUCAUUAAAGAUGUAUUUUCAACCUUUCCUUCUGUGGUGUUCUUUAACUAUCUGGAUAUUAGUUUACAACUGGCACACCAUGAACAGUCAAAUCAGCCUGAAAGAAAGGUUGCUGGGACUGAGUUUUACGAAGUGUAACUUUUUUUCCUGUUGCAUUUUUGUAGGCCACCACAAGUAGGUUGCACAAACUGGCUAAGAUCUAGACGAAUGUUACACUCACAGAAAAGCAUUUGGGUUGUGCAUGGGGGGAGGGGCAAUUUUGACCCACCCACCCCCACCCCGCCUUCCUCUGCAGCCACCUAUUCCUCCUGAAAAUUAUGUUCCUGAGGGUCCCACAAACCUCAGCAACAUUUUGGGAGGUACAGCUAGCUGUAGCCGGAAGGGGGAAUUUCCAAAAAUGGCCCCUUCCACCACUUUGCUGAUGAAAAACACUCUUCUGUGAACACCAAAUUAAUCUGGAUGUCAGCCAUUGUUCCCAGGCCUGCCUGGAGUCUACUUGAAACCAAAACAAGAGCAAGGGCAAUCACAGGAAAACAACCAAGCAAAACAAAGAGGAAAGAACACACCCGUGACUAAGAUGGGCAUAUAGAAAAGUCAUAUAUUGCAAAAGACAAUUAGAAAUAUGUAUUGAUAAUCAGUAGAAAAAUAGUAAGAUAAUUUCUUAUUUCUUGCAAUUGUAAGAAAAUUAAUAAUUGAACCAAACAUGACAAUUCAAAUAGAAACAUAAAUAGUAACAUAUACUCUACUUGACACACUGAUGGAAGAUAGCAGAAAACCCUACUGAAUUGUACCAAUGGCCCAUCUAGUCCAGUGUUCUGCUUUCCACAUUGGCGAAUCAUAUGCCUCCAGGAAGCCCACAAGCAGGUCAUGGAAAACAAUAACUCUCUCCCUGUUAUUCCUCUCCAGUAACUGGUAUUCAGUGAUAGUACUCAAUCAUUGCUACAGAGGUUCCAUUUCGGCAUCAUGGCCAAGCGCCUUUUAAAGCAAUCUAAACGAAUAGCCAUCACAACUUAUGGCAAAAAAAAAAAUUCUAUACAUUAAUUAUAUAUUGUAUGAAAAUGUACUUUUCUGCCAAUCAGUUUCAUUGGGUGACAGUUCUAAUAUAUGAGAGAGAGGAGAGACUUUUCUCUAUUUACUUUCUGCACAUUUACUUUCUACAUAAUUUUAAAACCACUGUCUUUCCCCCUUAGUCUUUUUGUUUUUAACCUAAAAAACGCCAAUUACUUUAGCCUUUCCUUUAGUAAGGUGAUAAUUUUGGUGGUUCUUUGCUGCACAUUUCCCAUUCUAUAAUACCUUUUUAAAAAUGAGGCAAUGAAAUGCGGGUCCACCGUAGGCAUUACAAUAUAGCAUUACCAUAUAAAGGCAUUAAUAUUGGAACAUUUUAUUUUCAGGCUCUUCUCUAAUAAUACCUGACAUGGAAUUUUCCUCUUUUUCGUGACCACAGCACAUUGAGUUGAUGUUUUCAUAGAGCUAUCCACCACAAUCCCAAGAUUGCUUUCCUGAGAUCACCUCACUGUGUAUAUGAUUCAGAUUUAUUAUUAUUAUUAUUUUUUGCUCUAGCAAAAAAAACCUGACUUAACUUAAACUUUAUUUUGUUGCCAACUUUUCACCUAGUUUGAAGAGCUUGUUUUGGAGCUCUUCACAGUUCACUUGGGUUUUCACCACUCUGGAUAAUUUGCUGUUGUCUGAAAACCUGGCCACUUCAUUGCUUGUCCCCAGCUUCAGAUAAUUUAUGAACAAAUUAAAUAGUACUGUUCCUAAUAAAGAUACCUGAGAGCACUGUUCCCUGUAACAAGGAUUCCCAUAUGUUGUUGACUACAACUCCUAUAAUGUUGUUGGGGAGUUGAGGUCAACAUUUUGGGAUAUGGUAGCUGACAACAUCUGGGAAUCCCUGUUACCGAGAACACUGCCUGGGAGACCCAGAUACAGUCCCUUACCAACCACAAGGGUUCUGUUCUUGCAAAACUCAGUGGUUGGCAAGGCUAAGACAUCUAUGGAGAUUGGGAGGUUAGGGGAGCUACGGUUGUGGAUGCACCUGAAAAAUAGCGGCGGGGGGGGGAGCUGGGCACUAAAAAAUCACCAGUUACUAAGAAUAAUUAAGAAUCAUUAAAAAGAAUGAUUAGAUUUUUCCUCAGGAAAAUUUUGGAACCAUCAAAGAUCACUUAAAUUCACCAAGAGUCACCACAAAGAAUGAGCAGAUUGAACCUCUCACUUCCACUUCUCUCCCGCUCCUACAUCUCUCUCUCUCUCUCUCUCUCUCUCUCUCUCUCUCUCUCUCUCUCUUUCUCUCCUCUGUCUCUUUUGUGCUUCUCAUGACCCAAAGUUGUGAUAGGAAAGACCUGCCUACAAAAAUCCAUUCGCAUAUACUUAAAACCACGUUAGACAAAUCUGCUGUUGGUGAGGGACAACUGUACUUACAUGCUAAAAUUUGCUGUUGAUGCCUACUCUCUACUUGUUUCUACCAAAUAAAACCACAUAGCUCUUGGUCACUAGGAGUCGACACUGACUUGAUGGCAUAACUUUACCUUUACUACUUGUUUAACCAGUUACUAAUCCACGACAGGACCUGUCUUCUUGUUCCAUGACUGCUAAGUUUACUAAAGAGCUUUUGAUGAGGGAUCAUUCUGAAGCUGCACUGGUAAAUCAGUUUCUCUAGUACAGAUAUAUAUAUAUUCCUGGUCCAAAGAGGAUGAACACAUACAAUGGGGAUAGAGAAUAAGAAUAAAAAAUCAGCUGCAUGCAUGGAUCUUCUUGAAAGCUUCAUGAAUCACAGUAUUUGGGCAAGGUUCAGAACAACAGUAUUUGGGCAAGAUUCAUUACCUGAAGGAUGAUGCUCUUAUUGGAUUCUAGCAAGUUACCUUGUAGGGGGAGGGGGUUCUUUAAAAUGAGGGCCAUCACUGACAUGGUUCUAAUUCACUUUAGGAAUAGAACCACAUCCAGAGCUUUCUUGGAUGAUUUGGUUGGAGGAAGGCUCUUUAUAGGAGAAUGAGCUUCCUCCUCUGGAAAUGUUGUUCCUUGUCCUGGAACUAGAGUCAGUGCAUUUUCCUGUCUAUACAAGUAUCUAAUGAUGAAUUGGAUUUUUAUUUGCAUACACAAUCAUGUCAACAAUGAACUGGUUAAUCAUAACUAGAAAGUCAUACAAUUGAGUAAAUGCCUGUAUGUUGUUAGGGUUUUGUUUGUGGACUGGGAGCGUGCUUAUUUAUGUAAUCUAUUUAUUUAUUUAACAUUUGCAUUUAAUAACAUUCUGUCACAGUACUUCCACUGUUUUGUUGUUGGCUGAUUCCCCAGGUCAGAUGCGGCACUUUGGCCUAGUUCUCACUAUGGUGCUAAAAAGCCAUCUUUACCACUUAAUACUGUAGAUUAAGAUUCACAUGACUGAAUCAGUAAAAAUCCCUAUUUGUGAAAAUGUAGAAUUCAGGGGGAAGGCUGGGCUAGAGACUUUCUUCCUGAAUGUUAGUGUCUGAUGUGAAGAGAAUAGAGAUAAAAACAAACUUCUGUGAACUUAUUAACAAUGAACGCAUCUUAGGAGGCCUCUGUGUGUCUAGUACUGUCCUAAAACAAUAAUUUAAAUAAUUGUAAGAACAUCUUGGCUAUAUGAUUGCCAUGAAUGACUUUGAAAAUGUUGUACCU